rnacentral:rRNA from 1 species
UACGUAGGGAGCGAGCGUUAUCCGGAUUUAUUGGGUGUAAAGGGUGCGUAGACGGGUUAGCAAGUUAGUUGUGAAAUCCCUCGGCUUAACUGAGGAACUGCAACUAAAACUGUUAAUCUUGAGUGCAGGAGAGGUAAGUGGAAUUCCUAGUGUAGCGGUGAAAUGCGUAGAUAUUAGGAGGAACACCAGUGGCGAAGGCGACUUACUGGACUGUAACUGACGUUGAGGCACGAAAGUGUGGGGAGCAAACAGG